GAUUUCUGGCUUGAAACAUUUUGCCGGCCACGGUUUCGUGUGUUAGUGCUUGGUGUUCUGGCCAUCCUUCCAAUCGCUAUUCAUUCUUCUUCAUUGAGGGGUGAGUGGUAUUGGAUCUUUUACUUUGAAAAAAUUAGAGUGUUUCAAGCAGGCUUUAUGCUAUGAAUACAUUAGCAUGGAAUAAUAAUUUAGGACUUCUGCCUAUUUUAUUGGUUUCUAGGUUUGGAGUAAUGAUUGAUAGGGAUAGUUGGGGGUGCUAGUAUUCAUCGGCCAGAGGUGAAAUUCUUGGAUUCGAUGAAGACUAACUAAUGCGAAAGCAUU
rnacentral:rRNA from 1 species